AGAUAAGGACUAAGAGUAUGUAGGAUGACUAGGACAAGAACAAAUGGCAUGUGAUGGUAAAUGCAGAAUGUCUUUGUCUUUACAAAAGUGCAAUAUUGUCUAUACUUAGACGAAGAUGCUGGGAUGGAGAGUGGGGGCUGCCCGGACAGAGCUACAAUCAGGGAAUUCAAGGCCUGCCACUGUCAGUGACUUACAUUGUUUCCUUGGAGUUUUUCACAAAUAAAUUCAAGUUUAUGUUAUUAUUUAAAAAAUCCCAAGGCAUACAAGUAUUUUUGGAUAAAAUAAAUAUAUCUGUGAAUCUAUUGAGAAUAAAGGUAGCAUGUUAAAACUCCCA
ensembl:lncRNA novel transcript